rnacentral:lncRNA from 1 species
UGGUCUCAUGGGUAUGUUUUGAUUUUUUUUCUGAUGAUUUUCUUAUACAGUAUGAAUUUUGUUGCUCUUUUGCUGCGGCAACAAGGUGGUAAAACCAACUAUAGAGUAUCAUGUGAAAACCCUGACAAAGCUACUUAGCCGAAAACAAAGAUAGCUAUCAUGAAGGAAAGUAAAUUGAAAUGCUAACAGCCUAAACUUUUUCAAGAAAUGUGACAGCUAAAUGAUGUCUAUAGAUAGAGAUGACUCAUGCUACGAAAACCAUACACAAGUGAAUCAUGUCAUUGCCAUAGGCAAAGGCAGUUAUUACAGUGCCUACAGAACCAUGUUCAGAUAGUUAUCGCGGUGCCUACAGAACCAUGAUAUUGCCUUCAGUUAUCCUACUGAAAUAGCUAAUUCAUGACCACACCUAUUGCAACCUUUCCACAUGGCUUAGACAAAUUUGUCGUAACGAGGACAUCAUUUGUUUGGCUUCGUUUGGAAAGAUCAGAUGCAAAGACUGCCGACACCACUGCUAAGCUGUCAGUAACUCAGCAUCCAGAAUCAAAUGGAGAUGGAAGCAGUUCACAGCUUAAUUAAUACCUGACUUGAAUCCCCAUUUUUGUCCCAAUCUUAGCUGGAACUUCCUCGAUGGAUGAGGAAAGAAAAAUUCGGGAUGCCGGAUGGGAGAGGAUGGGCGUAAAAAGAGAGGGCACAAAUACACAGUCCUGGGUUCCUGGCAAUUACCCAAAUCUUGAAAACUCACCGUGACGCCAUCAUAGCCUGUGAGGUGAAACAUCAUGUGCUAGAGCAGCGCCAUCUUGGCCGGGGGAGAGUAAGAAGCAGUUGCGGCUGAUGCGUAAUCGCCUAUAAGCUCGAAUAGCUCGCAGUUGCACCACCCAAUCAGGAGAAGUGGGCUAGCUGUUUCUUUUUCCUCGCGAACGUGCGACCAGUUUCAUUUAAUAGAGAUUGACCAGGGCCCACCCAUGUGCUGCGAGUAGUAAUUGAUUUACAUCAGUUUUACGGGUGCGAACGGACCAACAAAAAGAUUACAUCGACAUGGUUUGGGCGGUGAACCUUGGCUCAUGGAUUGAUUGGGGUGAAGAAUAAGUAAUUCUUCCACCAGUCACAUAUAUGAUUAGUUUACUUACUUUACGACCUUUUAGAAAAUUCAGAUCAGCGUUUAGUGUUUUAGGUUCAGUUCAGAGCAAACACUAUGAAGGUUUAGGAUGUGUUAUUUUAGCUAAUGAGAAUAUUUACCCUUGGUCGCUACAGUUCAUUGCAAUUAUUUUUUCAUUGUAUUUCAUCAUUGUGGGAAGCAUAUUUUUAGUUCUUGCUACAUAAUUGUCCAUUGAUUAUGCUAAAUUAUCUAUCUAAAAGAAUCUCAGACACGUUCCAUUUGUUUACUACUUACUCCCAACUUGUGUCUUCUAUGAACAGGAAAUGAUCUCAAGUCCACCAGUCAGAUUUUCAGCGUGGUCGCCGCAACGGUGGGCGUCGGGCUGCUACUGGCCUUCCUUGGGCUUGCAGUGACACCGACGGCGUCCCUCAUGCACAGCGCUUCGAUGUCAAGUUGCAGCGCCACCACUGAUGACGUGGCACGGCUGUACGCACGGGUGGGCGUGGGGCUGGCAAUCGCUGUUACACAGUUCCUCGCGUCGCUCGUUGGUGCCAGUGGAAAGGAAGAGACGGCGGAGCCACGCGUGCCUGUCAUGCGCCGAGUCUGCGUUUUCGUUGCCGCUCUGUCGCAGCUAGGUUUGACCGUCAGCGUCUCUUGGAGUCUGAUCCUCGCAGUUUCACCGCGCUUGGGUCAGAUGCGCUGUUGGCCACAGGUGACGAGGGACUUGUUGCUGACCGGGCUGGACGGGCAUUUCCUCCGCCUUGAGCGCGUACCUUGUUUACAUCGGCUUGGCCUGUGUGUUUGGGACCGGCUGAUGAUGGUAGGUUACAUGGUAACUCUUCUCUUGAAAUACUACCCAUCUAAUUCGAACAUCAUGCAUUGUACUCCCUCCGUCCAAAAAAGCUUGUCCCAAGCUGACACUCAAAUGGAUGUAUCUAGCACUAACUUGGUGAUAGAUACAUCCAUUUGAGGGACAAGUUUUUUCGGACGGAGGGAGUAAUGCCUAAUGAUUAUGUUCUGUCCUAUGUGCAGGGGAGUUCCAAAGCUCGUGCAAAGGCCUAGUGGUACUGUGUUUCUUAUGGAUUUGGUAGACCAGGGUGUGUGCUGGUCGAUCAUGUCGGCACUGUUGUGAUUCCACUUUGUUUAUGUGCAUUUGGUUUAUAAUAGUUGGACUUGUGCGUGGAUAGAUUCGAUUUGGUGUGGUUUCUGCUGGCACAUGGGAUUUAAUGUGAUUUGCCUCCUUAUAUCAUAUGUAGCUUGUUAUGAUGGUUGUGAGCUUGGUGGAUUUUGUCCUGCUGCGGGCAGAGGGCAAUGUUGAAUUGUGUUGACAGCUUGGAUGAUACUCAGCUUCUCGAGCUUUGUUGUGCUGUGCUAGACAAGACAGAAGCCGCCAUGUUUCCCUUUUUUUUCAUUUUGAUUUUUUUAGUGAAAAUCUAGCUCUCUUUAUUACUCAAAAGAAAGGGGUACAAUAUAAGUAGCUGGUGAAUUCAGAAGCCACACCUGACGACCAUACCUAACAAAAAUUAAAAUUGCGAGCUAGAUUAUGAGCGUGUGUAUUUGACGCCCGUAAUAUAUGCCAUCAUAACUGCGACAGAUAGUUGCGACCACUCCUCUAUUAUCGUUUCUCAAAACAGCUGCAUCAACGUUAAUCUUCAUCAUAUGUUGGGGAGGGGGAUCCAUCUUGGGGACAUGGAUCGUCUGACGUACUGCAGUGUGCAAUUCGGUCACUGACAUGUGGGCUCGUCUGCCGGAUGGCGCACAUGUCAGUGACCCAACUGCACCCUGCAGCACGUCAGGGGAGUUGAGUCAACCCCCCGUGGAUCGCCUGUCAUCCGGACAACCAGCCCAGUCGGCAUCAGAGAAGGCCGAGAGCUCAUAUGACGGUGCAGGCUGAAGAUGCAGACCAUAGGCAGCAGUACUACUGACAUAGCGCAAAAUACGCUUGACGGCUGACCAGUGAGACGUCCUGGGUGCAUGCAAAAACUGACAGACACGGUUAACUGCAUAGGAGAUAUCAGGCCUGGUGAUAGUGAGAUAUUGCAGACCACCAACAAUACUGCGAUACUCAGUAGCAUCAUCAGCCGAGAGAGAGUCACCAUCAAGAGCAGACAACCGAUCAGUAGCAGACAUCGGAGUGAAAACAGGUUUGCAUUUGAGCAUUCCAGCACGACGCAACAAGUCCAAGGAGUACUUCUUCUGAGUGGGAGUCAAACCUGUAGAGGACCGUGAAACCUCAAGACCAAGGAAAAAGUGAAGAGCACCCAAAUCCUUGACAGCAAAAUCAUCACGAAGAGCAACCACAAGGUGAUCAGCUGCAGCAGCCGAAGAACUGACAAGGAUGAUAUCAUCAACAUAAACCAGGAUAUACAUCGUAACCUCAGGGCGCUGGAGGAGGAACAGUGAUGUAUCAGCAGUGGAUGGAGUAAACCCAAGAGCCCGAAGAACAGAUCCAAGGCGAGCAUGCCAUGCACGAGGAGCCUGUUUCAGUCCAUACAGCGCCUUGACCAGAUGACAGAGAUGAUGAGGUCGUGUCGGAUCAACAAAACCAGGCGGCUGACGCAUAUAAACCUCCUCCUCCAGAAUGCCAUGGAGAAAGGCAUUCUGUACAUCAAGCUGACGAAGGAACCAUCCACGAGUAAUCGCAAGAGACAGUAGUAACCGAAUGGUAGUAGGCUUGAUAACUGGACUGAACGUGUCUUCAUAAUCAAGACCAUACCUCUGUUUGAAGCCCUUGGCGACUAACCGUGCCUUGUAACGCUCAAUGGAACCAUCAGCAUGGCGCUUGACCUUGAAAACCCACUUGGAAUCAAUGAUGUUGACGCCAGACUUUGGAGGAACAAGACGCCAAGUAUCAUUCUGUUGGAGGGCAUGAAACUCUUGUUCCAUUGCAGCACGCCAAUGAGGAAUACUCAACGCAGCCUGAAAAUGACGAGGCUCUGCAUUAGGGUCACCAGCAGUAUGAGCCAUGCACGCAGCAAGCCACGCAACCGUGCCAUCUGUCCGCUCUUUCGGGCGAAACACACCAGACUGGCUCCGUGUGCGCGGUCGAAGUGUGACGGCAGAAUCUGCCGGAGCCGGAGCUGGAGCAGAAUCAGCAAAGGUCGUGGACGAGGCCGAAGCCGAGUCCGGCGAGUCAGGCUCCCCGGUGGCCGAGGCAGGCGACGAGGCUGCUGGGCUAGCGACAGCACCGGCCGGCCCAGGGGACGCCCCCGCCAGUGGCCCAGGCGAGCCACACAAGGCUGGUGACGCCCGCGAGCCAGGCGAGCCGAGCGAGGGUCCCGCUGGUGUGGACGAGGCUCGCGGGUCGGGCGAGGUGGCCACUGGCGAAGCCUGCGAGCCGGGCGAGGCGGCUACUGGGGUGGCCGGGUCCUGCGAGUCGGACGAGGCGGGCGAGGCACCCGCCACUGGCGCUGGCGUGGGUGAGCCAGGCGGGCUGACCGCCUCGGGCGACUGGAGAGCGGGUUGGCGGGUGCCACCCGUUAUGCAUGGCACAUGCACGUCCCGACCAGAAGAAUCAUCGGCGACCUGUUCAUCAAGGAGCUCGAGCCGAGCACCGCGUCCAAUACCUGCUGCAUGAUUAGGAAGCAACGCAGGGGCAUAUGCAACAUCCACAAACUGAUCAGGCGUAGGUGUAGACACAUGCAUUGGUGGUGUGGAAGUGGAAGUGGUGAGGUCAGUCGGAAGUGCACGAAAGGGAAACACAUUUUCAUCAAACACAACGUCACGAGAGAUGUAGACACGGUUGGUAGGAACAUUUAAGCACUUGUACCCUUUGUGAAGAGAACUGUACCCAAGAAAGACACACUUCUUAGACCUGAACUCUAGCUUGCGCUUGUUGUAUGGACGGAGAUGAGGCCAGCAGGCACACCCAAACACCUUGAAGAAAGUGUAGUCCGGAGUCUCAUUAAGCAAGAGCUCAAGCGGAGUUUGCAUUUUCAGAAGCCUCGAGGGUAGCCUGUUUAUAAGAAAACAAGCUGUAGAGAAAGCAUCACUCCAGAACCGAAACGGGACGGAGGCAUGAGCUAGCAAGGUUAAGCCAGUUUCAACAAGAUGACGAUGCUUACGCUCAGCAGCACCAUUCUGCUGAUGUGUGUGAGGGCAUGACACGUGGUGCGAGAUCCCAAGCUUAUUAAAAAACGAGUUGAGGUUGUGGUAUUCACCCCCCCAGUCGGAUUGGAUUGGACAUGGAUGAUUUUGUGCUUAAGAAGGCGCUCAACGUGUGCUUGAAACUGAAUGAAGACAUCAAACACAUCAGACUUUCGCUUAAUAAGAUAUAACCAAGUGAAACGGCUGUAAGCAUCAAUGAAACUGACAUAAUAAUUGUGACCACUAACGGAUGUCUGGGCAUGACCCCAUACAUCAGAAAACACAAGCUCAAGAGGAUGUUUCACAACACGACUAGACUCUAAAAACGCAAGCUGAUGACUCUUGCCCUGCUGACAGGCAUCACAAAUUGUUUCAGCAGUUUUAUUGGACACAACUGGUAGAUCAUGACGAUGCAAAAUAUGUCGAACUAUGGGAGUCGCCGGGUGACCAAGGCGCGCAUGCCAGUGUGUAGGCGACACACGAACACCACUGAACACCUGAGGAGAGGACGACGUGGAAGAGGAGCGCGGCGCAUCAAGUGCAUACAGGCCAUGGCGAAGACGACCGCUAAGCAGAACGGCCCUCGUGUCCCGAUCCUUGAUAAAGAAACGAAAGGGGUGAAACUCAGCAAGGACAUUGUUAUCACGAGUAAGUUGAGGAAUGGACAACAAACUACGUGUAGCAGAAGGAACACGAAGGACAUUAGAUAGAUGCAAUGUGCGAAAGUUGUGUGCAAGGAGAGAAGCCUGACCAACAUGAGAGAUGCGCAUACCUGCUCCACUAGCGGUGUGCACCUGAUCAUGACCGCGAUAUGGCUCCUGAGUAGAGAGCUUACCCAUCUCACCGGUGAGGUGGUUGGUAGCUCCAGUGUCCAUGUACCAUGCAGGAUCAACGGAGUAUGACGAAGUGCGACCAUGAUCAUGACUCGUCACAGCAGCGGCGGCCUGCUUGUCGUUCCCCUUUCCGUUGUUGCCAAGGCCCAGAAAAUCCUGCUUGUAGCGACGAUGACAGCGAGAGGCAAUGUGGCGCUCCAAGCCACAUAGCUGGCACGCCUGUUGGGUACCACAAGAAGAACAACACGCCACGGGCCGGUUACCACCUGUGAUGGUCGGAGCGCUGCCCCUCGAAGCCUGUGAUGAGGGCAGCGCUGGUUUGCCUCCGGACGAGGAUGACCGCUGAGGCUUGCCGCGAGUUGCGGUAUUGGCGGAGGCGAAACUGGGAGAGGCUCGGCGCGCCUUGAUGCGCUGCUCGCGGCCAAGCAGACGGGCGUAGAGCUCACGAGGUGGUAGCGGGUCAUCGCGACCGUGAACGUUCUCAAUGAGAUUGUCAUAAUCAUCAUCAAGCCCAUUCAGUACGAAGGUGGUGAACUCCUGAUCCUGUAGCGACUGGCCGAUGGAGGCCAAUGUGUCGGCGAGACCCCGCAUUUUGUUGAAGUAGUCGGUGAUGCUGAGGUCACCAAGCUUCGUCUCACCCAACUCGGUGCGGAUAGAGUGAGCACGCGCCUGAGACUGAGAGGCAAAACUGGUGUGAAGCGCCGCCCACGCCUCCCGGGAUGUAGCGGCGAAGAUGACCAGCGACGAGACGCUCGGGGUGAGCGAGGACUGGAUGGCGGAGAGGAUGGCCUAAUCCUGGGCCACCCAGGUGUGGUACGCUGGGUGGUGGGGUGGUGGACACGGUAUGGACCCGUCAACAUAUCCCUCCAAGUAGCGGCUCCGCAGAAGAGGCAACACCUGGGCACGCCAGGACAAGUAAUUAUCCGGCGCAAGCUUCACCGGUAGCAGAUGUGAAAAGUAGAACGGUGACGACGCGGCGACCGGGUCGGUAUGAGCAGCAGACACCGGAUACAGUGCGGGAAACCCGGGAGGACCAGCAGCGUGGGCCCCGUAGGGCGGGAUGACCGCGGCCCCGGGAGGAUGCGGCUGUGGCGCGGCCGCAGCCCCGUACGACGGCUGUAGCGAGGCAGCCGCCUCUCCUGCGUAGGAGGCCGCAGCCCCGUGCGGCCCUGGGUAGGCUGCGUAGGGGUGCUGGGGAGGCAACGACGAAGAUCCAUAGGGGUGGCUCGGUGGCGCCGCCGGUGGUUGAUGUAGAGGCGGCGCACCAAACGCCGGCCACGAGGAUGGCAGCAGCGGCGGAGCACCAGGAGCCAUCGGAGGCGCGCCAUACGGGUAGUAGUCGUAGGGCGAGGGCGCGGUAGCGCCAUAGGCCGGCGGCGGGGCGGCGCCGUAGAGCGGCGGCAUCGGCCACGACUGGGGCUAGGUCAUCCGAGGUCUCGCCAUGCGGGCGAGAUUGGAUCGGGGACCCAGGCGGCGGCGGGGCCCCAUAGGCCGCCACGAGAGGCCCAGAGGCGAGGAACGGCGAAGAAGGGGCAAGGACCGGCGCGGCGGCGGCCGCGGCGACGGAGGUCGGCGCGACGGCGGCGGCGGCGGGAGCAGCGGAAGACAUCGUGAUCGUGACCUAAACUGAUACCAUAUAAAACAAGAUAUUUUGGGAACUGCACGACAUCCCUAACCGGGGUGUGGCUAUCUCAUUAUAUAGAGGUAUCCAAGGGGUACAAUACAACGUUACAAUACAGGGCUAUGUAUAUACAGUCUAACAGUGCCAGCCCACGUGUACGUACAUAGAGGCCAAUGGCUAUCUGGUUGCUCAUGUCUGGGGGUAACACGCCGGGUGAAGGGUUGAAAUCAGGAUUCACGGUGCCGGCCAUGACUAAAAAGGUCGCGCUGCUUUCCAAGUCGCGGACGCGUGCCGGCUUCCACACCGGCAGCAGUACAUACGCUCCACUGUACGACCCGUUCACAGCAAUCGCUAUAGCAAUCUGCACCAAAAUCAAAACCCAAGUCCACAACUUAACUUGUCUCGGGAUCAACAAAUUGCAAGUGCAAAAUGCAUAUGGAACGGUGAGUGUAUACAAACUUCGUAAGAGAGAGAGAGAGAGAGACCUCAGGUCUGGGCUCCGCAGGAGCAUCGCCAUUGUCAUGGAGCGGUGUUGGCAAAAGACCCGUGCGGUGAGGAAUGGAGGGGUUCUCCCUCACGAUGGGGAUGCUCCCCAUGGGGCAUUGCCUUGUGCUUUUGUGCCAUUCCUGCUCCACCACCACCGCGUGCGUCUCCUCCUCGUCUUGUUGCUCUGCCAUGACGCGGGCUAUAUCUCUCAUUAUCUGCAUGCAUCCUGCUUUAGUGUCAGGCGUACACAGGUUCGUAGAUGAACUAUAGAUCCACUUCUUACACUGCGUCGCUUGUUUCAAAAGAAAAAAAGGUGUGUAGUAUGUAUGCAUAAAAAUUGGAUAUGAAGGAUGAAGGCAGAACGUUGCCAAAAAAUUCACUGGCUAAUUAUUUAAAUGCAUUAUUUAAGGAUCAUCAACCUGGUGUUUGAUGUCCUUUAACAAUGGGUUAUUAAGGCUCGGUUGCUUGUAGAUUUCACCGCAAUCGAUUGUUUCACCAUUUUUGCUCUGCAACAUGCAUACAUACAUGUCAGAAACGGAACAAAAUGCAAUGGGGGUAUGCACAUAGAUACAACGGCAUGUCAGAAACGGAACAAAAUCAAAAGAGAAGGUAAAUUAUCAGAUGGAGACCAUACGUACCUUUAUGGUCAUCUUAAUGUCUUUGGGAUCGAGUUGUACCGCAGCAUCAAAAACCACGGCUUGUGUCAGCUCUGCUACGAAAACUAAGUGCAGAAGUAAGGAGUACCAUUGCAAGGUCAUUGUCAAUGUCGCUGAAUCUAUAUUAUUUUUGUGUUCUGACUGAAACCUGAGAUCAACCAAUCAAUGGAUGCACCACAUAUAUAGGCCGGGAACAGUACUUCCUCAAUUUCACACAACACCUGUUGGUCUUUUUUUUACCACUAAACAUAGUUGCCAGCCAAUGUUUAUUGACCAAAAUGUCCCUAUUAAAAGCAAUUUAUACCACAUGUGUUGAGAUAUACAAAUAACUCGGAGGGGUAUACUAUGGCAAAUUGGGAGAGUAUAUAUAUAUCAUUAUGAAAUACACUCAAGAGACAAACUAGCAUAUUAGUAUCUCAUACUAGCUGCUAGCUGGGUAUGAUUUGUAAUUUUGUACAAUGCAUAAUCUCUAUUCUUAAAGGUUGACUUGGUAUCUUCCCCUCCAUGGUUUAAUUUCGUCUGUGUUUUCNNNNNNNNNNNNNNNNNNNNNNNNNNNNNNNNNNNNNNNNNNNNNNNNNNNNNNNNNNNNNNNNNNNNNNNNNNNNNNNNNNNNNNNNNNNNNNNNNNNNNNNNNNNNNNNNNNNNNNNNNNNNNNNNNNNNNNNNNNNNNNNNNNNNNNNNNNNNNNNNNNNNNNNNNNNNNNNNNNNNNNNNNNNNNNNNNNNNNNNNNNNNNNNNNNNNNNNNNNNNNNNNNNNNNNNNNNNNNNNNNNNNNNNNNNNNNNNNNNNNNNNNNNNNNNNNNNNNNNNNNNNNNNAGUAGAUUUUUUUCUUCCUCCCAUUAAAAAACCAAAUAUAUACUUCUAAAGGGAAAGAACCCAAAAGCAAUCCUCUUUUUCUAAAAUCGGAUGCAAUCUUAUUAAAUUGAUUGGCUCUUUGUGAGUAUCAUGGGAAAAAUGCGUCAAAUCUCCCCCGAGAGAAGGAAUCUGGAUGCAAUACACUCUUUUCAUAAAUUGGGACACAAUCUGAUUAAAUUUAUUGACUCUUCAUCAGUGCCAUGACAAGAUGUAGAAAAUCUCUCCCGAGGGAAAUAAUACGCAAGAAAAUCUCUCUUUCCUAAAAUCGGAUGGAAUCUUAUAAAUUGAUUGACUCUUUAUGAGUGUCAUGAGCAAAUGCGUCAAAUCUCUCUGGAGGAAAAGAAUUCCGACGCAAUCCCCUCUUUCCAAAACUCGGGACACAGUCCAAUUAGAUUGAUUGACUCUCCCUUAGUGCCAUGCCAAGAGAGGAGAAAAAGGAACGCCACAUGUAAAUUGAUUAGAUUGAUGCGGAGAACCACAGGGCCACCCGGUGCCGGAUGGAUACUCCGAUGCGAAGUCAUGCAAGGGCGCGCUUGCCGCCUGCUGGAAGGGGAAGUCCAGGGUUGUGGAGGAGCGGCACUAUGGCACUAUGUCCUCUCCCUCACCGCCCCGACAACGGAAGUUCAGCACGGGUCGGCAGCCCAUGGCUGAGCUUGGCCAAGAGCGCACAUGGCACUGGCUCCUGAAAGGGGACUUGGUAGCUUCUCCUCAAUGGUUUAAUUUUUCUGUCUAUUUUUUCGCCUCACAUCCCACCACCAUCUAUUUUGUCUGUAUUUUUUUUACCUCACUUCCCACCAUCCCCUUACUCCCACUAAAACCAAAUCUCUACUACUAAAGGGAAAGAAUCCGGAAUCAAUCCUUUCUUUCUAAAUUGGAUGCAAUCUUAUUAAUUGAUGGGCUGAGUGUUGUGAGAAAAUGCGUCAAAUCUCUCCCGAGGGAAGGAAUCUAAGCACAAUCCCCUUUUUCCAAAAAUCGGGACGCAAUAUGAUUAAAUUGAUCAACUCUUCCUCGGUGUCAUGCCAAGAUGCAGAAAAUCUCUCCCGAGGAAAAGGAUCCGCAAGCAAUACUCUCUUUUCUAAAAUUGGAUGCAAUUUAUUUAAAUUGAUUGACUCUUUAUGAAUGUCAUAAGCAAAUGCGUCAAAUCUUUCGCGAUGUCGGGGUUAUAUAUACGGGGUAGGCCCAAAUAUAUAGAUGGCCCGCUAGAAGCCUAUGAACUAUACAAGAUACAGCUCGGAAAACCAUGGGCCAAGGGGCGUCGUCAUGAGUGAAGGAAAUAUGCCCUAAAGGCAAUAAUAAAGUUAUUAUUUAUUUCCUUAUUUCAUGAUAAAUGUUUAUUAUUCAUGCUAGAAUUGUAUUAACCGGAAACAUGAUACAUGUGUGAAUACAUAGACAAACAUAUAGUCACUAGUAUGCCUCUACUUGACUAGCUCAUUAAUCAAAGAUGGUUAUGUUUACUAACCAUAGACAUGUGUUGUCAUUUGAUUAAUGGGAUCACAUCAUUAGGAGAGUGAUGUGAUUGAUAUGACCCAUUCCGUUAGCCUAGCACUUGAUCAUUUAGUAUGUUGCUAUUGCUUUCUUCAUGAUUUAUACAUGUUCCUGUAACUAUGAGAUUAUGCAACUCCCGUUUACCGGAGGAACACUUUGGGUGCUACCAAACGUCACAACGUAACUGGGUGAUUAUAAAGGAGUACUACAGGUGUCUCCAAAGGUACAUGUUGGGUUGGCGUAUUUCGAGAUUAGGUUUUGUCACUCCGAUUGUCGGAGAGGUAUCUCUGGGCCCUCUCGGUAAUGCACAUCACUAUAAGCCUUGCAAGCAAUGUGACUAAUGAGUUAGUUGCGGGAUGAUGCAUUAUGUAACGAGAAAAGAGACUUGCCGGUAACGAGAUUGAACUAGGUAUUGGAUACCGACGAUCGAAUCUUGGGCAAGUAACAUACCGACGACAAAGGGAACAACGUAUGUUGUUAUGCGGUUUGACCGAUAAAGAUCUUCGUAGAAUAUGUAGGAGCCAAUAUGAGCAUCCAGGUUCCGCUAUUGGUUAUUGACCAAGAAUAGUUCUAGGUCAUGUCUACAUAGUUCUCGAACCCGUAGGGUCCGCACGCUUAAGGUUUCGAUGACAGUUAUAUUAUGAGUUUAUGAGUUUUGAUGUACCGAAGGAGUUCGGAGUCCCGGAUGAGAUCGGGGACAUGAUGAGGAGUCUCGAAAUGAUCGAGACGUAAAGAUCGAUAUAUUGGACGACUAUAUUCGGACUUCGGAAAGGUUCCGAGUGAUUCGGGUAUUUUUCGGAGUACCGAAGAGUUACGGGAAUUCGCCGGGGAGUAUAUGGGCCUUAUUGGGCCAUACGGGAAUAGAGGAGAGAGGCCGAAAGGAAGGAGGCGCGCAGCACCCCUCUGGUCCGAAUUGGACAAGGGAUGCGGCCCCCUUUUCCUUCCUCCUCUCCCCCUCUUUCCCCCUUCUCCUACUCCAACAAGGAAGGAGGGAGUCCUACUCCCGGUGGGAGUAGGACUCCCCUUGGCGCGCCCCUCCUAGGCCGGCCGCCCCCUCCCCCCUUGCUCCUUUAUAUACGGGGGCAGGGGGGCACCUCCAGGCACACACAAGUUGAUCUACGGGUCGUUCCUUAGCCGUGUGCGGUGCCCCCCUCCACCAUAUUCCACCUCGGUCAUAUCGUCGCGGAGUUUAGGCGAAGCCCUGCGCCGGUAGAGCAUCAUCAUCGUCACCACGCCGUCGUGCUGACGGAACUCAUCCCCGACACUUUGCUGGAUCGGAGUCCGGAGAUCGUCAUCGAGCUGAACGUGUGCUGAACUCGGAGGUGCCGUACGUUCGGUACUUGGAUCGGUCGGAUCGUGAAGACGUACGACUACAUCAACCGCGUUGUCAUAACGCUUCCGCUUACGGUCUACAAGGGUACGUGGACAACACUCUCCCCUCUCGUUGCUAUGCCAUCACCAUGAUCUUGCGUGUACGUAGGAAUUUUUUUGAAAUUACUACGUUCCCCAACAAUGAGAACAUGAAGGACUAGGGGGUUACUCAGGACCGCGCUAAGUCCCGCUAGCUGAGCGCUAGCAGUCGGUCGGAGGCGAAGGGAGUUGUCGGCUGGACCACGAAUCGGCGGCUACCUAGGAUACCUCUCCGCAACAAUGUCUUAAUGAUGGAAGUUACCCAAUGAUGAUAUAAUCUAGUUAAAUACGGCAGUUAUCAGUAGUAAAUACCGAACAAUUGGCCAAUCCUAAGGCCAUGAAUAACAUUACUACCAGCCCAUUAUGUACCCUACCUGGCGCACUCUAUAUAAGGCAGGAGGGAACAUUCGGGCUAGAAGUUGAACAUUCACACUUUGUACCUUACGCCAAGAGUUAAGAGCACCACAGGAGUAGGGUAUUACCUCCACCGCAGAGGGCCCAAACUUGUAUAAAUUCUUAAGCGUACUCCCAACAGCACCGUUUGGUAGAUAAGAUUGCCUCUAUAUUCCUACCCCCUACUAUUGUCAAGAUUAUAUCCACAACAAUUGGUGCCCGCCAUGGGGCAAGCGUCUAUCGAUGAUAUGGUGCAGUUGGCUUUAUCCUCAGUUUCGUCUGGCAGCAUCAACUUCGGGGAGCUCGAGUUCCCUAUCGAUGGAUCCGCGUGGCACCCGGACGCCCCAUUGAAUAGCGCCUACCCGCUGACAUGGGGUAGCAUUCACUACAGGGCCAAUGGCUCAGUGGUGUUUAGCUUGGAACUACCAUCAUCAUAGUCGGGGCACCUGGCGCCAUGUCAUCAACGAAAGUGAUCCGACAAACCUCGUCCUCAGUUUCAUUGUUCCUCGAGCUGGCUCGUUCUGAUUCAAUUUUUCCUCUCUUGGAGCCCACCACUUAGGGAGAGGAGACCUGCGGAUCACUGCCGUCUGCAGAAGAAGUCUUUAUGUCUGGUACGCCACCGCCUGANNNNNNNNNNNNNNNNNNNNNNNNNNNNNNNNNNNNNNNNNNNNNNNNNNNNNNNNNNNNNNNNNNNNNNNNNNNNNNNNNNNNNNNNNNNNNNNNNNNNNNNNNNNNNNNNNNNNNNNNNNNNNNNNNNNNNNNNNNNNNNNNNNNNNNNNNNNNNNNNNNNNNNNNNNNNNNNNNNNNNNNNNNNNNNNNNNNNNNNNNNNNNNNNNNNNNNNNNNNNNNNNNNNNNNNNNNNNNNNNNNNNNNNNNNNNNNNNNNNNNNNNNNNNNNNNNNNNNNNNNNNNNNNNGCCAAACGACUCCUUCACACCCUUAUCCCGGGUGAUUCCACAAAGGGCAUCAACUAGAGUGUGUCACCAACGAGACAUUGAUGUAUUUUACGAGACAUCGGGCAUGAGGGAGAUGCCGAAUGCAUAACGACAUGAGAAUAAGAUGGAUGAUACGUCUCCAUCGUAUCUAUUUUUCCUAACGAUUUUUCUCUUGUUUUGGAUAUAAUAAUUAUGAAAGAUGAUAAUGGUUACUUACAUGAGAACAGAAGAUUUUAUUUGAUGUCAAUUUGAUCAUAAGGUACUCCAUGGGUACAAAGGAUCUUUAAAAUACGGUCAACUAUUACAUCUUUCUUGGCCCCACAUAUAAUUUUGACUACCUUGAGAUGUUGCGAUAGAGAUGAUUGCCCACUCGAUUUAUAGCUUUGUUCCCUUAAGCUACGGCUUUCAUCUGUUUUUGUAAAAUGAUAUUUCUGUAGGAAACAAUUUUUUUUGUAAGUCAACAAAAGGUAACUUCAAAGACGAAAGCUAUGAUACUCAGAGAAUGUGUAUACCUCAGAAGUUCGAAGAUCAAGCUGAAGCAGAAGCGUCUCUAGAAUUGGUGCGUGCUGAAGAAAGUAAACCGAUCCAGUGAAGUCAUCAGCCACACACCAUUUAUUGAGCAACAGUGUUUUUAGCUUGCUAAACGUAUGGCCCCAUUUCAAAUCCACUCUGAAAAUAGAUACCUGCACAAAAUGAAGAUGGUUAAACACCGUUCAUAGCAAUCAAGUGUUACCAGAUACCGAGAAGUUGUACGUUGCAAGUUUCUAUUCUACUCAGAAAGAUGGCUCAGUCAUACAUGUUUGAAUAGUAUACAUGACUAAAGUAUCAAGUAGCUGCAUGCAUAAUAGCAGACACGUUCGUAGAAACAUCAAGGUUUAAGCAUGUGAAAUCGGUGAAAACAUGCAAUGGAAAUAAUGAGAUUGUUCAAUGUACUUGUACUCACAGAUAAUGGGCCUACCUGAUAAUUAUGAGAGUUACCAAAAAUGGGAGCAUACCUGAUAAUGAGCUGCUGUUAACUUCAAAUUCGUAGCACGGGACAAGCCUUCCAGAACCACAUCAAAAGAGCAUCCUUCACAUGUCUUAUCGUUUACAGACUCAACGAUGCGGUUUGCAGUAAUGGCAUGCUAUAAAGCAAAGGAGCCAGACCCUGAUAUAGCUCUAGUUUCAAGCUAAUGAGAUUUGGGGCAGAAAUACGGAGGCAGCUAUCAUAGUCAAAACAACGGCGCUAGGCCCCCGCGCUAGGUUUCCCUCCCCGCGCCGCCACCCGCGAGGCGGCCGGCGAGGGCCCCCAGAUCCGCUCGCCGCGCACCUCCCCUCCUCCUCCCUCGCCGCCGCCAGGGGGCGCGGCCGGGCGAAGCCCGACCNNNNNNNNNNNNNNNNNNNNNNNNNNNNNNNNNNNNNNNNNNNNNNNNNNNNNNNNNNNNNNNNNNNNNNNNNNNNNNNNNNNNNNNNNNNNNNNNNNNNNNNNNNNNNNNNNNNNNNNNNNNNNNNNNNNNNNNNNNNNNNNNNNNNNNNNNNNNNNNNNNNNNNNNNNNNNNNNNNNNNNNNNNNNNNNNNNNNNNNNNNNNNNNNNNNNNNNNNNNNNNNNNNNNNNNNNNNNNNNNNNNNNNNNNNNNNNNNNNNNNNNNNNNNNNNNNNNNNNNNNNNNNNNNNNNNNNNNNNNNNNNNNNNNNNNNNNNNNNNNNNNNNNNNNNNNNNNNNNNNNNNNNNNNNNNNNNNNNNNNNNNNNNNNNNNNNNNNNNNNNNNNNNNNNNNNNNNNNNNNNNNNNNNNNNNNNNNNNNNNNNNNNNNNNNNNNNNNNNNNNNNNNNNNNNNNNNNNNNNNNNNNNNNNNNNNNNNNNNNNNNNNNNNNNNNNNNNNNNNNNNNNNNNNNNNNNNNNNNNNNNNNNNNNNNNNNNNNNNNNNNNNNNNNNNNNNNNNNNNNNNNNNNNNNNNNNNNNNNNNNNNNNNNNNNNNNNNNNNNNNNNNNNNNNNNNNNNNNNNNNNNNNNNNNNNNNNNNNNNNNNNNNNNNNNNNNNNNNNNNNNNNNNNNNNNNNNNNNNNNNNNNNNNNNNNNNNNNNNNNNNNNNNNNNNNNNNNNNNNNNNNNNCCGGCGGCCGCGUUGGUUCCCUCUGUCGCGGGCGUGCAGUGGUGGUGCGGCUCGGCCGGUGGCGGUCCGGCGACCUGGUGGUGGUGGCCGGCGGCGCACGUGGUGGUGGUGCUUCCACUUGGCGGCUCUCUGUGCGGGGAGGCAGGGAAGCGGCUUGGACAGGGGCGGCAGCGUCGACGGCGUGCCGGCUGCAGCGCGAAGGCGGGAACUUUACGGGCCUCGGAGAUCCCGGCCGGGCCUGUGCGGCCACGGGCCUGGAAUGUUCCUGCUAUUGCGUCCGGUCAGCUACCGUCGAGACGGUGGAGGUGGGGCCCUCCCGCGUGCCGACGGUGCUGCUGCCCUAGUCCCGGCUCCUCUCCUUCUUUGUGCGGACCAUGCUUCACGGUGCCGUGGGGAGACGGCGUGAGAAGCUUCGUGACCGGGUUGGCGCAGGGUGAGGGUCUGUUUGGUGGCGAGCUCUGGAGUGCCUGAGGUGGUGGUUGGGAUCGGGAGAAAUCUCUGUUGGCUUCGCACUUGUGGGUACCGCCUGACCUUCCUGAAGGGCGUCGGGGCUACCCUUCCUCUCUCCUCACAGCGUACCGGGGGAAACCCUUGGCGGCAGCGUCGUCUUCGUCGCGGUCCUUCUUGGAGGUGCUGAUUGGUACCGGCGCUUCGGAAGCUCGGAGCUUGGUGGGCGAUCUCCGGUGGGCGCAGCGGCCUCGAGGCUUCUUCGUUUUUUGUCGAUCCGCCGUUGUUGGCAUUAGUUUUUUUUUUUGUAUUUUCUCUUUCUUUCCUUUUGGGCGUGACUGUGCUGCUUCCGCCCCAAUACCCAUCGUUGGAUGUUCGGUUGGCUGCUUUGUAUACAAAGCGGGGGAAAACCCUUUUUCGGUAGUCAAAACAACCUCCUUUGAUGCUAAGAUGUCGCAAUGAUGGGCACAAGAUACUACUAGCAUAAAUGCUAGUACAACUUGUCAUCUGUAAGACAUCUAGGACCUGACAACCCGAAAAAUCCAAAGGGCCUUGAAACUGCAUGGAGCGAAACUCUACCGUCUUUAGGUGCGAAGAGAUGAGAGCCAUGUUGGUUGUCAACCUCGAGGCGGCAACAACUCGUAGCACCCGAACUUUAUGCGACAAAGCAUAGUGGAUCCACUGCUCGAUGCGUCUGAAAUUGAAUGUGUCAUUGUGUCGACAAGUAUCCAGAUCCUCGAAAACGGAACGGAUGUCACAUACGUUCAACGGCGUCGGGUCGCGGAGGCGGAGCAGGUCGUCAACGAAACAUGUUUGAGCGGGCCGUUCUGGGACAUAGUCAAAUUCAUCCAUGCCGUCGUGGUCCGUCUCGUCCAUGCACUCGCAGACACGGUAGCCGUCCGGGUCGUCCUCGAUGCGCAGCGCGGGCACGGACUUCCAAAGCGUGCGCCAGCGCUUGGCGAGCACGCACGUGCGCACGGCGUCGCGCGACGGAAGAAACGACAUGAGGUGCAACAGGACGUCGUCCUGGAGCGCGCCGAUGCGGUCCUCGCCGUCGCUAAACUUCCUGUGCAUUGCGUCGAACAGGUUGGCCGCGCCGGAGGCUGGAGCUGCAAGGUUGUUGGGCAUGGUGAGGUGAGCAGAGCGAGAGAGCAUCCGGGAAGGAGAAGAUAGACAAGAAUCCAAGAUUACCGCCUCACCUCCUGCCGCCGCCGGAAGGCCUUGGCUGGGUGCUCAGUUCUCCGAGCGAAGCAAGACGGGGACAAGCCCUGAAACCAUCUCACUUGUCAGUGUUGUUGCGGGAGGAGAAGACGAGAUCAGGCAGGAAGAUUGACAGAUCCAAGGAGUUUAAUGAAGGAGUAAAUAGAGAGUCAAUUACGGGUGCACGUAAUUCCGUGCGUCAAUGCAGGUCUACUCCAGCACGCAACAGUUUUACUGUACGUCUUCUUUGCAUUAUUUUCUACUACCAUGACGUAGAGGGACGAGGCUCCUCUGACGUACUGCAGGGCGCAGUUGGGCCACUGACAUGUGGGUCCGAAAGAAAGUUGGCCCACCUGUCAGUGACCCAACUGCGCCCUGCAGUACGUCAGGGGAGCCGAGUCCGAUGUAGAGACUAGUUUUAUGUGCGACAAAAUAAUAAUCCAAGACGUGAUGUCAAACAGUCUACUACCAUGUUUUCUUAGAGAAACGACUUAUAUUAGACUCUAUGACGCAGAAAGAACAAACCUUAAACCAACACAAACCAGACAAAUAGGUAGUACUUAAAACUGCUAUAUGUUAAGAUUUUAACAUAACUAAUAAAUACAAAGGGAUAAAGUUGAAAACAGUAAAUGCUUUUCUAAGAAUUUAUUAAAUAUCUCAAUGUAAAAAAAAUUAAAAUCACAAAGUAGGGCUUAAAACUUUUAUUUUGGUAUUCCAAAAAACAUUCCGAUUUCUCGAACAAGUUUCAACAAGAAAAAUAUUUUUUAUAAGGAGAAAAAUUAAUUAACAAAGAAAGAAGAAUAAUGGAAUUUUUUUUUGAGAAGGAACAACGUGCUUUAUUUCAUGUCUCAAUGUUUAAAAGGAUGCAAAGAUGAUCCGGUGGAUCGAUGAGCCACGAAUGUCGGCCAAUAUCAAGGGUAGUAGCCAUUCUAGCUAAUCUAUGUGCCUCACCAUUGCUAGCGCGUUGCUCGUGGACAAGCUCAUAGCUUCGAAACUUCUGUUUCCUUUCGUUGAUCUCUUGUAAGAUCAUGCAGUAUUCGCCGAGAUGGAUUGGACUCUUCAGGUCGUUGAAACAUGCACUUUAUUCACAACCAAAUCCUCGGCUAGAGCGAGUGCCUCCCUACAAGCAAAUGCCUCCAAUGUCGCUGGUUCAGUCAACCCAUGAAAUACAACAGCCGAGGCCCCCCAAAAAAGUCUGGUAUCACUCCGGCAUACAACGCCCACUGCCCCAACGUUGGAUGACUUGGCCACCGCACCGUCUACAUUUAGCUUUACCUCUCCCAUUCCCGGUGGGAUCCAGGCCUUAUCAUGUGUUGUAACCGAAGCUCUUGCAAGUCUAGCAACUUGUUGUCUCGCUCGGAUCUCUUGAAGCUCCUGCAGAAACUUUAUGAUGAAUUGAUGUGUGGAUAGCGGGCUCUGUAGUUCGUGUUCGUGGAUUACCUUUCGCCUAGCCCACCAAAUACCCCACAAUGUAACUAAUACCGAGAUGAAUUGGUCCUUGCUGAGUGUUCUGCAAAGGUUAAACAACCACAGCUUCGGGUCGGUCAUCUCAUCGCCAUAAACAGGAAGCAAUGAGUCAUCGUCUCACAGUGACCAAAUGCACUUUGACAUAUUGCAGUCCAGCAAAGCAUGUCGCCAUGAGUCCACUGCAGCCCUGCAAAUCGGACACACCUCCUCGUCGGUCAUGUGCCUCCGUUUUCGCUCCUGACCCGUGGGUAGCGAUGCCCGUGCAAGUCUCCAAGCAAAUAUUCGUAACUUAGCCGGGACCUUAACACCCCACAACAUCUUCAACUGACGUUCCUGUUGUUCUAAAUCUGAGCUACCCAUUGGGCCCAACUACGCGACAGCAUUGCUCUGUCGGGCACCCACUGGGCCCAGCCAAGCGCUCACGGAUUUGAAAAAAGUUCAACGAUUCAAAAAAUGUCCCUGUGUUCAAAAUUCGUUUAAAAUUCAAAACAAAUGUUCCUUUUUUCAAAAUUGUUUAGAAACUCAAAAUUCUUAUGGGCAGUUUCAAAUAAUGUUCACUCUUUUAAAAAUGGUUCCUAUUUUCAAAAUAAUUCUACACAAUUUAAAAAUGUUUGGGGAAGUUAACAAACAAAUUAGUUUCAAAUUUAUGUUCGCAUAUUCCUGAUUUUUUGAAAUUCGAAAUUUGUAAUGUUUUUCAAAAAAUGUUUUCAAGUGUAAAAAUUGUUUGUUUUCAAAAUGUUGUCCAAUCUUUUUGAAAAAUAUUUGUGUUGUUACAUUCUGGGGAAUUUUGGAAGACACAAACAUAUUUUUUAUAAAUUCCUAUACAAUUUUUUAAAAUGCAGAUAUUUGUAAGUUUAUUUUAAACGAACAUUUUUGGAAAUUUUGAACAAAUGCCUGUGCUGCUGUGCGUGGCACCGUCUAAUUCAGGAGCUCUUAGUCAGUGCUUUAAGCGCCGAUUAGGAAACUGGCGCUCGCACGCAUGCCAGCGAGCCGCGGUCCAAUAUUGCGCAAGCUCACUCGCACGCUCACCAGCUUCACACGUUCGCUCGCGUCGCCCGCUAGCUUUGAAAAAGGUUAAUGAAUUUAAAAUUUUAAUAAGUUUGAAAUAAAGUUCAAGAAUUUGAAAAUUGUUCACGAGUUAAAUUUUAAAAAUUUCAUAAAUUUAACAAAUGUUCAUAAGUUUGAAAAAAAGUUUGUGAAACUGAAAAAUGUUACGGGUUAAAAUUUUAAAAAUACUAUGAAUUUGAAAAUUACUUAAAAGCAUGUGCCUCGCUGCCCUCCAUUUUCCGCCGCCCCAAGCAGGGAGCUGCAAAGACACUCCUGCGUGACGUGUGUACAUGACACGACACAAGACGAGGCGCCAUGUGGAGGACUCUGCUUUGAGCUCGGGGGGUGCCCCUCUUGUGACAUGGCUGUUGCAAACGUCUAGACCAUUUUUGUUUUCAAAAAAAAAAAUCUAAUCUAUCCAUCUGAUGUCAAAAUAGUACAAAAACAUCAUAAGUAAAAAUUACAUUCAGGUUCAUAGACCAGUUAACGACGAUUACAAGACACCUGAGCGAGCUGAAGGUACGUCGUCGUUAUUACUCUACCUCGGUCAUUGCCACUACUAAUAAGACUACCACCACACCCGACGACCGCUACCAGCCUACCACUACCCCCACUAUACUACAACGCAAAUGACCAAUGGUGGCCGAGCUUCAAUGAGUUCGUUUUAAAAAUAUAUACAUUUCCAUAACUUAAAAUUUUUUGACAAAAAUUGUACAUACAUGUUUAACAUGUCCGAGGAAAGUUUCAUAACAUUAUACUUUCAAACAUGGCUUAGAAAAAAGGACAAAUAUGUAUUUUCAAAAUGGGCCGACUUUUCUUUUUUGGGGCCAGAAUUUGGUCUUUUUGUACAACAUACAAAUCAUAAUUUUUUCAAACAUUUUUUUACAUAUUCGUGUGUUUAACACAUAAGUAUUCACGGGAAAAAUUUGAUUUAAAAAAUUGAAUAUGAUUUUUUUUAAAGGGUCUUCAUGGAGCUCGACCUUCAAAAAUCCGCACUCUAUACUACUACCACUAUUGUUGCUGCUACUACUGUUGCCGUCAUAAUGCUUUCUCACUGUCGUUUCACUAAAUUCGUUGCAAAAUAAAAUAAAAUAAAUUCAAUAGUUUCAGUAAUGAAUCAAUGUUACAAUCCAAAAUUAUAGGAUCCCAAUGUACAUCUGACGACAGCUCAGGGGUGUAGUCCAAGCGAAUGCUCGCUCCCCCGGGAAGGAAGGAACAAGCGGCCAUUUUCGUUUGCUCAACAUAACCACUCCCAGUGGACGUUUCAGAAUUGCCAUGUGAAAAUGAAUAAAAUUAUCGUGCUAUUGUAAAGGAUUUGCCAUGUUCUAAGUAAAUAUUGUCAUAUUAUAUAAAAUGAUUGUCAGAAAAUUGCUAUGUUGUAGCAUUGUGCCAUGCGUUUUUCGGGAUUUACCAUGAUUGUACCAUGGAAAAUUGCAAGCAAAAAAAGGAAAUGAGGAGAAUUGCCAAGGUCAGGAUUGGCCAUGUUGUUUGAAGGGGAUUUUCAUGCUACAUCAUUGUAAAAAGGUGAGACUUGUCAUGCUCUACACACACUAGUAACACAGAAGCCCAUAAUUUUGUAAAUAGCUCUCUUUCUCUCGAGCAUGGUCGCUAUACCUGGCUCUUGAGCCCAACGAUACUUCUAUUGUACCUUAGACUCUUAUUAUGCAACUAGUUAAUUGUCCGUACGUUGCAACGGGACAUAACAAAUCAUGUGAAACAUGUAUAUCUCUAAGAGCACAUUAAACAAUGUCAAAUGUAGUUUCAUGUUAUAAAUGACCCUUCUUCAUCUUCUUCACCACUAUCUCCACUCCUCAUUCCAAACUGAUCACCGUCCUUAAUGGCACAUCUGGCUAUCAGUCAAAUUUUAGGCAAGGGGAUACAUGGUAGCUUCAGAAAACACGAGAAAGUUUAGUAACUUUAGAGAAGUUUUAGGGUGAAUAUGGAACAUAAGUAGUGAUAAAUAUUUAAUGGCAUGGUACAACAUAUAUUGUUAUAACUCACACUGAAGGUACAAACACCAGAAAGGGUUUUUCUGAAGAAAGGGUUAUCAUUGCGUACAAUUCGAAGUAGGCAUAGAAUAUACUCCCUCUGUAAACUUUUAUAAGUUGUCACCUAAAAUGUCUUCAAAAAGUUUACACAGGGAAUACCUUUUCAUAGUACAAUACCAAUUACACAAGAUUUUUCAAGUGCCUCUAGUUGUUCUAUACGUACAGCGUGUACUUGCAGCUAAGAUUGUAUUCCAUCUCUCCAAACAGGGGAACAUAACUACAGGGUAAGCAUGAGUUAUAUUAGGACUCAGGAUGCACAUGAUGCAAGCAAAAAACAAAAACAAGGCAGUUGCAGCCACUGGAAUGGAAUGAAUUAAUUGUACUGACCGGUCAGGCCAAUGUAUUAGGUAAAGGCCAAUGUUAUCCGCACCCAGCCCACGCAAUGAUCACACAAGGAAAGCAUAUCAAGCAUAUUGUAAGGGCAUAUUUAUCCCUCAAGUGUUUUGGUGAUUGAUGACAAUGCAUUUGCGGACUAAUCGUGUGCCUUGAGUUUCUCAGAUACUUCAUCUCUAGGCAUGAGACAAUUCGGUGCCCCUCGGAGACUAUUGAAGUCGGCGUUGUUCUACGUUUCUCUUUGGUGGAUUUGAGUCGUAGGAGAGCUGUACUAUUAAGAGGGGGUCCGCGUCGGAAAGGUUUGGGUGGAAUCAACACGUACACUUGUUCCUCCUUUCCCUGCAUUUUGGAGCUUCCCUUUGUUAUCUAGGUUGUGCGGGAAUCUGACGACUACUGCUGUACUUGCGGUAGUACCGCAAGUACACGCGGUAGUACCGCUGUGUGUCACGGUAGUACCGCUCAUCUGGAGCGGUAGUACCGCGGCUCCCAGGCCUUGUGCCGCUCUGGUGCGGUAGUAGGGGCGGAUGUAAUUUUUUACAUCCGCGCCCUCCACGGUAGUACCGCUCGUCCAGCACGGUAGUACCGCGGGGACCCAUAGUAGUACCGCUCCUUAGGAGUCGUAGUACCGUGGCCCUCCUACCUAGUACCGCAGGGCCGCGGUAGUAGGCGCGGAUGUAAUUUUUUACAUCCGCGCCCGCACGGUAGUACCGCGCCUCGCGAGCGGCAGUACCGCGUCGGAUUCUUGUACCACCUCAGUUUCAGCGGAAGUAGGCACGGAUGUAAUUUAUUUCAUCCGCGCUCUUCCUAGGCCGUGACUUUCCUGCCAAGCGGUAGUACCGCAAGUGGGUGCAGUAGUACCGCGCAAGCGCUAGUACUGCCUCCUUGUCAGGCUAGUUCCGGCCUGUGCUGCUGUCGCGGUAGCCUCGCGGUAGUACCGCGCCCCUGGAGCGGUAGUACCGCGUGUCGCGGGCUGAACAUGUGGAUAACGGUUGGAUUUUUCCCUCGACUAUAUAAGGGGUGUCUUCUACCUCUAGUUGACCACCUCUUCCAUCUCUAAGCUCCAUUGUUGCUCCAAGCUCCAUUUUCACUCGAUCUCUCUCCCUAGCCAAUCAAACUUGUUGAUUUGCUCGGGAUUGGGUGACAAGUGCCCGAUCUACACUUCCACCACAGGAUAUUUGAUUCCCCUCACUUAUUCCGUGCGGAUCUUGUUACUCUUGGGUGUUGAGCACCCUAGACGGUUGAGGUCACCUCGAAGCCAUACUCCAUUAUGGUGAAGCUUCGCGGGAUUAUUGGGAGCCUCCAAGUGCCGUGGAGAUAGCCCCAAUCUUGUUUGUAAAGGUCCGGUUGCCGCCUUCAAGGGCUCCAAUAGUGGAAUCACGGCAUCUCGCAUUGUGUGAGGGCGUGAGGAUAUUACGGUGGCCCUAGUGGCUUCUUGGGGAGCAUUGUGCCUCCACACCGCUCUAACGGAGACGUACUUCCCCUUAAAAGGAAGGAACUUCGGUAACACAUCCUCGUCUCCACCGGGUCCACUCUUGGUUAUCUUAUCCCUUUACUUUUGCAAGCUUACUUGUGCUAUAUCCAUUGCUUGCUUGUGUGCUCAUUGUCUUUGCAUCAUAUAGGUUGUCCACAUAGUUGCACAUCUCGACAACCUAUUUCAUUGCAAGGUUUAAAUUGUUAAAGAAAAGUCUAAAAAUUGUUAGUUGCCUAUUCACCCCCCUCUAGUCAACCAUAUCGAUCCUUUCAAUUGGUAUCAGAGCCUCGUCUCUUUAUUAAGGACUUUGUCGUCCGAAGAGUAUGGUUGAUGUCAACGACGGUGCGGAGGAACACUCCGGUGUGAAUCCCAUCUCGUCUUCGGCCGAAGGGGGAACCUCGGUCUCACGUGAGGAAUUCAAUGUGGCUUUAGACACAUUGAAAACCUCCAUGACGGCCGAGGUUAAAAGCAUGUUUACUGAAUUUCUAGAGGGACUUAAACUAUCUACCUCACCAAUGAAAGUGGGUGAUCGCACUAACAAGGUGACGGAUGCUAACUCCGAUAAGGGGGAAGCUAACAAUGAAAAGAGUCCAUCUACUAGUGGUAGAAAUGGCACCGGCAUCUUUGCCCAUGUGGAACCCCCAGUGUAUAGAGGACCGAUCCCCUCUACUCAUUUGAAUCAUGCCGGUCCUCCUCCUAAAUAUGUGAAAAAUAAAGAUUAUGAUUCUUGGGUUUAUCGCUUCAAGCGUCAUUUAAAACAUGUGAAUACUAACCUUUGGAGAAUUAUUGAAGAAGGUUUCUAUCCUCAUGAUCCAAGCAACUUCACCCCUCGAGAAGAAGUGGACAACCAAUUCAAUGAGAGUGCUCUCUUCAUCAUCCAAGAUGCUAUCCUUCCCGAAGAUCUCCCUCAUCUUCGACCUCAUGUCAUGGCUAAAGAAGCAUGGAAGUAUGUCAAGCGUAUGUAUAGAGGAAGUGCUAGCAUUCAACGCUCCAACUAUGAAGUGGUGCAAGAUGAAGCCGAUGAGUUUGCAAUGAAAGAGGAUGAAGAACCUCGUGAGCUCUUUCGAAGAGUGACCAAACUUGCGGUCGCACUCCGAGAUCAUGGGAGUAAGGACACGGAUGACAACUGGAUCAAGCGCAAGUUCCUCAAGGCCAUGAUGCCCUACAACAAGGCCAUGUCCUCCGUCAUCCGCCAAAGACCGGACUUCCACUCCAUGACCUCUGGUGAAGUGUUGGAUGAGUUUGUUGCAAUGAACAUAUUGGAUAAGACCGCCGACAAUGCGGUGCUCCGUUCCCAAAGGGCAAAGAAGCCCAAUCUUGCCUUGAAGGCCAAGGUUAGUGUGGAAGAAGAAGAAGAAGAGGAAGAUGAGGAGAGCAACCCCGAGGACACGAAGUAUGAUUAUCAUGAGCACAUGGCUCUUGCCUCAAGACAGUUUUGGAGUAAGAAGACUACAAGACCCAACUUCAACAAGAACAACUCAAGUGGCCUCAAGGGGAAGCAAGGAGUUAGAACUUGUUUCAACUGUGGCAAUGUCAGCCAUUUCGUUGCGGAUUGUCCAUACAAGAAGCGGGAAGACAAUGGUGGCAAGUUCAUUCGAAAAGACAAAGCCAAGUCCUUCCCCAACAAGAACAACUUCACCAAGAAGACUCCUUCUCGCGGGUUGGUGGUUCAAGAAGAAUACCGUGAGGAUGACGAUGAUGAUGAAGAUGGUGAAACAAUGGCCAUGGCAUCCCUUGCCAUUUUCUCAACUCCUCGGGUGUCUCUCUUCGAUGCACCUAACGAGAACAUCACCGCCAAGUGCGUCAUGGCUAAGGCCACCAACAAGGUAACCCCCAAGAUCAAAACCACCAUUAUUCCUAACCCUCCUUCAACGGAUGACUUUGAUAAUGGUAAGGGGUCUAAUGAGGAGAUCAAUGAAUUUGAGUCCUUCAUGAGUAAGCUCAAGGGCAAAUCCAAGAAGCAUUUCGUUGCUCUCUUGGAACAACUCGGUGAAGCCAAUGACAUGAUCGAGGCUCAUCAAGAAACCAUCACUAAGAUGGAAAGUCAUAGUCAUGACUAUGCCGAUGAGAUAUCGGAUCUCUCUAAUGCUCUUGAGGAAGAUCGUGAGCAUCGUUUGGCUCUUGAGGAGUCACACAACGAUGGUCAUGCAAACUAAAGAAAGAUCUUGAUCAUGCUCUUGUUGUGUCUCGUGUUCUAGCUUCCGAGAAGGCUAAACUUGGGGUUGAUCAUGUUAGACUCACGGAGGAGUUUGAUGUACUUGACAAGGCCCACAAGGUCUUGAAAAGUGCUCAUGCCACCCUCAAGGAGUCUCAUGCUCAACUCCAAGUUAAGCUAACUAAGGAAAAGGCCACAUUUACUCACAUGGUCUUAAUUGAUAAUGCAAAUGCUACUAACCCAUGUUGUGAGCAUGUGCAUCUUGUGGAGGAAAAUGCCAAGUUGAAGGAACAACUCGAGAAAGGUCUUGUGUCAUGCAUACAAGGCGAGAAGAACCUAAAUGACCUUUUGAGCAAUCAAAAGGAAGUUGUGGGCAAGGAGGGAGUUGGGUUCGCACCCAAGUCCAAGAACAAGAAGAAGAACAAGGAGAAGAAGAGCAAGACCAAUCGACCUCCUCCGCUCAUGCAAACCUUUGUGAAGGAGGGAGAAGGUGCUCCUAAGGAGAAGAAGAACAAUGGGAAGAGCGGUGAAGCCAAAGAGCGCAACGCCAUCUCUCCCAACAAAGCCGGCGACUUUAACCCCUCUUAUGUGUUGUGCCGUGCUAGUGAUGGACAUGUUUAUGCUAAAUUUGUUGGUUCUCCUUAUGAGUACAUUGAAUGGUCUAUUUGGGUUCCUAAGACCUUGUUACUAACAUCAAAGGACCCAUUACUCAAUGGGUACCUAAAACCAAGCAUUGAUCUCUUGUAGGUGUUUGCUUCCGGUGGGGGAUCAUGGUUGCUCGAUAGUGGAGCAACAAAUCAUAUGACCGGGAGCAAGGACUUGGUGGUGGACGUGCACAAUAUCCCAUCUAUGCCCACCAAUGUCGAAUGGGGUGAUGCCUCACAUUCUAAGGUAUUGGGUCUUGGCAAGGUUGUCAUUUCUCAUGAUCUAACGAUCGAGAAAGUCAUGCUUGUUGAGUCCCUUGCGUUCAAUUUACUUUCUGUUCGUCAACUCGCACUCAUGGGUUUUGCCACCUUCUUUGAUAUUGAUACCGUGACCCUUUUGUGGAGCAAGACUCUUAAAGUAGCCUUUGUUGGGCAUGUCGAGAACGGUCUCUAUGUGGUUAACUUCUCGGAGCAACCCACUAAGACCGCGACAUGCCUAAUGGCUAAAGUUGAUGUGGGAUGGCUUUGGCAUCGCCGUUUAGCCCACGUCAAUAUGAGAUCUUUGCAAAGUCUUCUUAAGGGGGACCAUGUCCAUGGACUAACGAAUGUUAGUUUUGCCAAAGAUCGUGUUUGCAGUGCUUGUAUCGAAGGAAAGCUUCAUGAGAUGGCUCACCCUCCCACGACUAUCAUCUACUCGAAGAGACCCUUGGAGCUCCUCCACAUGGACCUCUUUGGGCCCCCAUCCUUUGAUAGUCUUGGGGGUAGAAAGUAUUGCUUGGUGAUAGUGGAUGAUUAUUCAAGAUACACGUGGGUAUACUUCUUCAAGAGGAAGAGUGAGACUCAACAAACCGUCAUCGACUUUGCAAAUGAAGCUCAAUGUCAACACAAUGCAAAGAUCUUGACAAUAAGAAGUGACAACGGCACCGAGUUCAAGAACUACACCUUGGAUGAGUUUCUUAGUGAUGAAGGGAUCAAGCACCAAUAUUCUGCACCAUAUACCCCUCAACAAAAUGGUGUUGCAGAGAGGAAGAACCGGACGUUGAUGGAUGCGGCAAGGACCAUGAUGGCGGAGUUCAAGUCUCCAUACAACUUCUGGGCCGAAGCUAUCAACACAGCUUGUCAUGCAUCCAAUCGGCUCUAUCUCCGCAAAGGCUUGAACAAGACUCCGUAUGAGAUACUCACCGGGAACAAGCCCAAUCUCAAGUACUUCCGGGUGUUCGGGUGUAAGUGUUUCAUUCUCAAGAAAGGUGUUCGUUUGUCUAAAUUUGAAGCUAGAGCUCAUGAGGGCAUAUUUGUUGGUUAUGCUACAAACUCUCAUGCUUACUGUGUUCUCAACAAGUCCAACGGACUCAUUGAGGAGACAUGUAACGUAGAGUUUGAUGAAAAUAACGGCUCCCAAGUGGAGCAAAGUGGUACUUGUGAUGUAGGUGAUGAAAUUCCUCCCCAAGCCAUAAGAAGAAUGGGUAUUGGUCAUAUCCUACCCAUUGAGGAACCCCUUGUGGCCGAAGGAGAAGGACAAUGCUCCACUCAAGUGGAGCCAUCACCUCCCCAAGACCCACACGCUUCUGAAGAACAAAGUGAAGGCCCUCACCUUCAUGAACAAGACCAAGGGCAAGAUCAACCUCAAGAUGGAGGUGAACCUCUAAAUGAUGCCCAAGGUCAAGUUCUCCCCCUCGAGCAAGUUCAAGAUCAUGAGCAAGCUCAAGACGGUGCUCAAGAUGAUCAAGUUAACCUUCCUCCUUCCAUACCCGAGGAAGAAUUAGAGUGUCGUGCCGCGAAGAUUGCUUCCAAACUCACCACCCAAGGCCGUCUCAUGGAAAACGUGGUUGGAAGUCUAAGAAAGGGGGUAAGCACUAGUAGACAAUUAGCUAACUAUUGUGAACAUCAUGCGUUUGUCUCUUGUGUUGAACCCCAAAAGGUCUAUGAGGCGCUCGAAGACUCGGAUUGGCUCAAUGCCAUGCAUGAAGAACUAAACAACUUCGAGUACAACAAGGUGUGGAUAUUGGUGCCAAGACCUUCGGGGAACCACAACGUCAUUGGAACAAAGUGGAUCUUCAAGAACAAGCAAGAUGCUCAUGGGAACAUCAUUCGCAACAAGGCAAGAUUGGUAGCACAAGGCUACUCCCAAGUCGAGGGCAUCGACUACGAUGAAACCUUUGCUCCCGUUGCUCGUCUUGAAUCCAUUCGUUUGUUGAUUGCUUAUGCUUCCCAUCACAACUUUAAGUUGCAACAAAUGGAUGUGAAAAGUGCUUUUCUUAAUGGUCCCAUUAAUGAGAUGGUUUAUGUCAAGCAACCCCCCGGGUUCGAGGACCCCUACUUCCCGGAUCACGUGUAUCAACUCGAUAAGGCACUCUAUGGCCUUAAACAAGCCCCACGUGCGUGGUAUGACCACCUUACUGAGUUGCUACAAGAUCGUGGAUUUGAAGUAGGACAAAUCGAUCCCACUCUUUUUUACUAAGAAGGUCAAAGGGGAGUUGUUUGUAUGCCAACUAUAUGUUGAUGAUAUUAUCUUUGGUUCUCCUAACAAAGCUUUCAAUGAGGAAUUUGCCGCUCUCAUGACCUCCAAGUUCAAGAUGUCUUCGAUGGGAGAGUUGAAGUUCUUCCUUGGUUUUGACAUCAAACAACAAAGAGAAGGAACCUUCAUCAACCAAGCCAAAUACACUCAAGACAUGCUUAAAAGAUUCAAGCUAAGUGAUGUCAAGCCGGCUUCUACACCAAUGCCUACCAAGUGCCAACUUGACAUCGAUCCCAAUGGUAAAGCGGUGGAUCAACGCUCCAUGAUUGGCUCCUUGCUUUACCUUUGUGCAUCUAGACCGGAUAUCAUGUUGAGUGUGGGGAUGUGUGCACGGUUUCAAGCCGCACCAAAGGAAAGUCACUAUGUGGCGGUCAAGAGAAUCUUUUGAUAUUUGGCUCAUACCCCAAACUUUGGCCUAUGGUACCCAAGAGGAGCAAAUUUCAAGCUUGAAGGUUUCACGGAUUCCGAUUGGGCGGGGGACAAAGUGGAUAGGAAGUCCACUUCCGGAGGGUGCCAAUUUCUUGGUUGCUCUUUGGUAAGUUGGUCUUCCAAGAAGCAAAGUUGUGUGUCCCUCUCGUCCACCGAAGCAGAGUAUGUGGCGGCUGGUAGUUGUUGUGCUCAACUCCUAUGGAUGAGGCAAACUUUAAAGGAGUACGGUGUCAUUUGUGACAAAGUGCCUCUUUGGUGUGAUCAUGAAAGUGCCUUCAAGAUUUCUCUCAACCCGGUACAACACUUCAAGACGAAGCACAUUGAGAUUCGGUAUCACUUCAUCCGGGAUCACAUUAGGCGAGGGGAGAUCGAGCUCAAGUAUGUUAACACUCAUGAUAACCUUGCAGAUAUUUUCACGAAGCCCUUGGAUGAAGCAAGAUUUCGCGAGUUAAGGCAUGAGCUAAAUAUCAUUGAUUUGAGCAAUGUGACUUGAACCCGUACACCCCCACCACACUCAACGUGUUGUCUAGUUUAGGUGUAGGCAUGGACAUAGGGGGAGUGUUGUUCUCUCAAUGAACUCUCCCUCCCCCCAUUAUGCAUAAAUCGAUCACCUCUUUCACAUUAGCCAUUUUUAAUGGUACUUGUGCUUCAAAGACGAGUUUUGGUCAUGGGCCCAAGGAUAAUUCUUCACGGUGCCAUACCAUCCAACUCAAACAUAGGUGGCUUCGGCCACCGCCCUCUCUCCUCGAGAGGCUUUGUCGCUUGGUGGUUUCUUGUUGUCUUUUUGCCUCUGGUUUGUGCGUGUUCUUGUGGUUUCUUGUGUGUGAAAAGUUUCCGUGCAAAGGCUUUUUCUUCUCGUGUUGAAACUUGCGGUGACUUGAGCUCACGGUACUACCGCGGCCAGCUACGGUACUAUCGCAGCCAGCCACAGUACUACCGCUUGCAGGAGCACGGUACUACCGUGACCACGCGGCAGUAUUUUUUUUACUGCCGCCUGGUUGAGCGGUACUACCGCCUCGGCGCCGUACUUCCGCCCGAGCGGUACUACCGCGAUGAUACGUGGUACCACCGCACCGGUUCGAACGCGUGGGGAUAAGGACGGGCAGGGGAAGUUUUAACUCCCCAUACCCAUUCGCUGUCCUCUCUCUCCACGUCGCCUCCUUCUCUCCCUCGCUCAAGAAUGGAGCCGGUGUUCGUCGCUGGAUCUCCUCCACCGGCUGCCCUCCCGUGAUUCCGACCGGUGGGAUCGUUCCCCACCACGUGCUCUUGCUAUGGACCAAGGUUUUUCCCCAACUCCCUCUCCGUGUUGCUUGCGUUUGGUGUUUUUAGGUUUUGGGGGAGGCUUGUGUGUUCUUGAGAUUCAUAGGUUUAAUCUCUGCAAGAGUAGGAUGAUGGAGUGUGGCAUUGCAUAGGAUUUAUACUUGUAUUUUUGCCUUGCGCUAGAUCGGAUCACCGUAGCACCGCUUUUGUUUCACGGUUCUUUUUCAGAUUCAAACCGCCGGUUGGAUCUGACGCGACGCGGUACUACCGCCCGUCUGGCGCGGUACUACCGCUUGUACGGUACUACCACCCUUCGGGAGCGGUACUACCGCGCUCUGUGCGAUACUAAAAUUUUACUUCCGCUCCAACCACGGUACUACCGUGACCUCGCACGGUACUACCGCGUUUGGAGCAGUACUAAUAUUUUAGUACCGCAUGCAAUGGCAGUUCUACCGUGGCUCACAUCUAUCGCAUGCCAACUUUCUCGUAUGCCUUCUAUGUGUUUCUUGUGCUUUUUGUGGCCUUUGCAUUGAUCUUUUCACGUCUUCGGUGUUUUGCGUGUGUGUCUCAGGUGGUGGCUCUCGCCGGUCCAACCCCAGUCGUGACACUGGCUCCAAACGUUUGCGCAACCCAGGUGAAGUACCAGAGGGCUCGUCUGCCUCCAAGCGCAAUGUCAAGCACUCAGCUAGCAAGCACAAGGAGCCCGCUAAGGGCAUGGAUGAGAUAGCCCAAGCUGAUUAUGUCCGUCUCAGGCAGCUUCACCCUUAUGUGCACCCGCGUGCCACUUUCAGAGGCUGUGAGCUGUUCUGGAACAAGCAACAGACCAACAUCUAUCUGGAUGUCAUCAAGAACAAGCAGAAUACCUAUGUGGAGGUGAAGUGGAUUGACAUGCAUCACAUGAGGAAGGACAAGUUUCGUGACUACUUUGGAGAGGCUCUGGACUUUGUGGAGCAGUUUGGCAUUGAGCAUGUGUUAACCUUCCACCUCGACUAUGACCCUGAGCUUAUCUGUCAGUUCUUUGCCUCAGUCUACUUUCACUCUGAUGAGGAACGGAGGAUGACCUGGAUGACCAAUGGCCGUAAGCUGUCUGCUACCUGGAAGGAGUUCAUGGAUCUCCUCCAGGUUCCUGAUGAUGGGCUCGACUCUCCAGUGGGUGUUCGCCCCCAUGCCAAUGCUGAGUCUGCCAGCAAGGACAGGCUUGCCCCAUUCAUGGUUGAGAAGGCGCUCGCCAAUGGCAAGACAACUUUGGUGCUCAACCCCUUCCUGGAUAUCAUGUAUCGCAUCUUCCGCAACUCCUUGUUCCCUCGCAUCGGUGACAAAGACAAGGUUCAUGCCUAUAUGGUGGACAUGAUGCUCAUCUGCGAGGAGGCUCGUUCGUCUCAGUCUCAGCCACUUGAUGUCUCACACAUCAUGUGGUGUGAGCCCCGGUUUGCAGUGUUCAACCGCAAGGUGCCUAUCUAUGGGCCCUAUCUGUUUCUGCUGAUUUCAAAGACUUGGGAGAAGAUGUUCCCUGAUGAGGAGUUUCUUGCUCCAGACUGGGUUCGCCAUGAGCCCAUCUGCCUGCGUAUCAAAUCCAACUGGGCCAACACCACUACUCGUGCCGAGGCGUCUGCUGCUAGGGCUGCUGUUGAUGAGGAGGAUGCUGGCGCCGAGGAUGUUGCUGAGGGCCAUGCUGCUAGGCCUUCCCAGAGUGCCGCUAUGCCAUCAUGGGCCAAGAAGCUGAAGGACAAGAUGAAGACUCUUUUCUGCAUGCAAGCCAAGGGGCAGUACAGGACUCACGUGGCGUCCAAGGAGAGUCGUCGCCGGGACAACAAGAUCUUGCAGCUCUAUGGUGAGGCAGUGUCUGGCGGGUCUGAGGAGCACAUCACUCCAGAGGCUGAGUGGAUGGAGAAGCAGAGCUACAGGUGGACUGAGUCUGAGGAGGAUGUCGAGGAGAACAUCCCUGCUGCCGAGGAGACCGACGGAGAGGCUUGGGACGAGUUCUCUGCUUGAGCCACCUCUUGUGUGUAGGUGUCCUCUCUGCCUUUUUGGCGUCUCGAUGCCAAAGGGGGAGAGAGCGUAGGGAUUUGCGAGUGUGUCGUGUGUUUGCGAGUGUGUCGUGUGUUUGCUGCUUUCUCGUUUGAACUAUUUGCUGCUUUCUCGUUUGAACCUCGGUAGCUUUACUUCGUUUGGUGUAAGACAUAUGCACUCUAUCUAUCCUAGCGAGCUUGUGUUAUAUUGUGUUAUCUUUAUACUAUGAUAUGCUUAUUAUCAUGCCUUGGUCUCUAAAAUAUAGGGGGAGUGUUGAUCCUAGUCUGUGUGCUAUGCAGUCUAAAGCAUUCAUCUAAAGUGCACACAUCUAGGGGGAGCCCGUCUAUAUUUUAGAGCGGUGGGGUUUGCCCCUGCUCUAAAUUAUCUUAUCUAUAUGCAAAUCCCGUGUUGUCAUCAAUCCACCAAAAAGGGGGAGAUUGUAAGGGCAUAUUUAUCCCUCAGGUGUUUUGGUGAUUGAUGACAAUGCAUUUGCGGACUAAUCGUGUGCCUUGAGUUUCUCAGAUACUUCAUCUCUAGGCAUGAGACAAUUCAGUGCCCCUCGGAGACUAUUGAAGUCGGCGUUGUUCUACGUUUCUCUUUGGUGGAUUUGAGUCGUAGGAGAGCCGUACUAUUAAGAGGGGGUCUGCGUCGGAAAGGUUUGGGUGGAAUCAACACGUACACUUGUUCCUCCUUUCCCUGCAUUUUGGAGCUUCCCUUUGUUAUCUAGGUUGUGCGGGAAUCUGACGACUACUGCUGUACUUGCGGUAGUACCGCAAGUACACGCGGUAGUACCGCUGUGUGUCACGGUAGUACCGCUCAUCUAGAGCGGUAGUACCGCGGCUCCCAGGCCUUGUGCCGCUCUGGUGCGGUAGUAGGGGCGGAUGUAAUUUUUUACAUCCGCGCCCUCCACGGUAGUACCGCUCGUCCAGCGCGGUAGUACCGCGGGGACCCACGGUAGUACCGCUUCCUAGGAGUCAUAAUACCGUGGCCCUCCUACCUAGUACCGCAGGGUCGUGGUAGUAGGCGCGGAUGUAAUUUUUUACAUCCGCGCCCGCACGGUAGUACCGCGCCUCGCGAGCGGUAGUACCGCGUCGGAUUCUUGUACCACCUCAGUUUCAGCGGAAGUAGGCACGGAUGUAAUUUAUUUCAUCCGCGCACUUCCCAGGCCAUGACUUUCCUGCCAAGCGGUAGUACCGCAAGUGGGUGCGGUAGUACCGCGCAAGCGGUAGUACUGCCUCCUUGUCAGGCUAGUUCCGGCCUGUGCUGCUGUCGCGGUAGUACUGUGGUCAGCCACGGUAGUACCGCACAGCCUCGCGGUAGUACAGCGCCCCUGGAGCGGUAGUACCGUGUGUCGCGGGCUGAACAUGUGGAUAACGGUUGGAUUUUCCCUCGACUAUAUAAGGGGUGUCUUCUACCUCUAGUUACCACCUCUUUCAUCUCUAAGCUCCAUUGUUGCUUCAAGCUCCAUUUUCACUCGAUCUCUCUUCCUAGCCAAUCAAACUUGUUGAUUUGCUCGGGAUUGGGUGAUAAGUGCCCGAUCUACACUUCCACCACAGGAUAUUUGAUUCCCCCCACUUAUCCCUUGCGGAUCUUGUUACUCUUGGGUGUUGAGCACCCUAGACGGUUGAGGUCACCUCAAAGCCAUACUCCAUUGUGGUGAAGCUUCGCGGGAUUAUUGGGAGCCUCCAAGUGUUGUGGAGAUAGCCCCAAUCUUGUUUGUAAAGGUCCGAUUGCCGCCUUCAAGGGCUCCAAUAGUGGAAUCACGGCAUCUCGCAUUGUGUGAGGGCAUGAGGAGAUUACGGUGGGCCUAGUGGCUUCUUGGGGAGCAUUGUGCCUCCACACCGCUCUAGCGGAGACGUACUUCCCCUUAAAAGAAAGGAACUUCGGUAACACAUCCUCGUCUCCACCGGGUCCACUCUUGGUUAUCUUAUCCCUUUACUUUUGCAAGCUUAGUUGUGCUAUAUCCAUUGCUUGCUUGUAUGCUCAUUGUCUUUGCAUCAUAUAGGUUGUCCACGUAGUUGCACAUCUAGACAACCUAUUUCAUUGCAAGGUUUAAAUUGUUAAAUAAAAGUCUAAAAAUUGUUAGUUGCCUAUUCACCCCCCCUCUAGUCAACUAUAUCGAUCCUUUCACAUAUCAUCAUAUAAUAUGAACAGAAAUAUUACUAAGUAAGCGAAUGGUUCCUAGAGAACCAUGUACUGUGUUGCUAACGAUGUGCAUGUCCAACGAUGGUGAUAAAGCUUGUUGGGAAAGCGUCAUCAGAGAAGCAAAAUAGCAAGAAACUCUUUCAUAGUCCCAUAGAUUACAAGAGGAGCAGCAAAUUACUCCCUCCGUUCGUAAAUAUAAGUCUUUUUAGAGAUUUCAAAACAAACUACAUACGGAUCUAUAUAAACGCAUUUUAGAGUGUAGACUCACUCAUUUUGCUCCGUAUAUGUAGUCCGUAUUGGAAUAUCUAAAUGACUUAUAUUUAGGAACGAUGGGAGUAUAAUGGAAGACAGAACAUCCAUGCGUCAAAAUCCUUAAAUAAAACAAGAAACUCUAUAGUUCACAACCAUGUAAACUGAAUAGAAUUUUCUAGGAAACGAUCCUACACCUUAUUCCCUGUCAUUAUACCUUAGACUCUAAAGCCGUUUUUUGAGGGUGCCAACAGGAUGUAUCGCGUGCCUUCUCCCAAUGUUGCAAUCGCUCCCACUCAAAUUCUCGCCAUACAACAACAUAUAAUUAUCUCGAUAUGUAACAUCCCAAUUUUCAAUUUGGAUGUUUAUAAUAGAUCAUUCAUAUGCAUCCAUGAUUUAUGCAUUUUGCCCCAUUUGUUUUAUUUGAUUUUUGAUCCAAGGAACUUUGAGCAACUCAAGGACCAAAAGAGAGAGUUGGAAGUUUCCCUAAAAACCAAUUUUGAAUUUUUUUUCGAAGUUGGGAGUUUGGAUCAAAUUUAGUUUCACCAAAAAUAUUCAUUUCCAUUAUAUCAAAAAUAAAAUAAUGAGAGAAGAUAAAAUGACUUCUUCAAAAACACAAAGAAAAUAUUGGAAAUUGAAUUUGGAACCAAAAUAUAUUUGUUGAGUUUUAGUUGCAAUUUAUUUUAUUAGCACAUCAAAAAGUUUUUUUUGAAAACUUGCAUUUUUAGGCCAGAUAAAAGUUCACUAGGUCAUAUAUAAGACCAUAUAACUAUGUGAAUUUUCUGGGAUUUUUUAGGCUAAUUAUUAUUUGUCUUUUGGUGCUUUAAUGCUGCUGAAGAAAAAACGAUUUAAAAAAAAACAGCCGGCCCAGCUAGCGCCAGCCAGCCCAGCCAGCGAGGUAGCGAGGCCAGCGAGCCGAGCGAGGCUCCAGCGCUCACUCAGCGCCCAGCCCCACAGCCCCACCUGAAAAAAAAAAGGGUCGUUCGCCUCAGCGCCCCACUCACGUUUCCUGUUCGCUUGUUCGUUUCCUCCCCCAGGAACACAAACGUAAGCGUUCAUGCUCCCGACUUUGCUUCGUUUUCAAUUCCUGAAAAUCAAUUCUCCAACUCACUUCACGUCCAAGAAAGAUGUCUUAUAAAUAGCCACGACUCUCCUCGACCGAUUCAGUCGAAAAUCUCACGCCAAAACUAUCUCUAGACGACGCACUCGACGUUCCAAUCUCGCCUCAGAAGCUGCAGUUCAUCGCAAGUUUCCGACACCGGCGAGCCGUACCUAGCCGUAUCCUUUUUGGUUCUGACUUCUCUCGAUCCUUACAACCGUUUUGACAAGGUCUCGCGCUCCCUCUUCAUCUACAGAGGCCACCUCGACCACGUUGUCUUCACCAGAGCACCCGGAGCAUCGAGCUUCGCCGCUUUGUUUCGUCGCUGUUCGUCAUCCCCGAUCAUCACCGACUACACCACCGGACGAGAAACUCUCCACCGCAUCGUCUAGACACCUCCGCUGCCGCCCACGAUCGCCGGAACCGCCGCCACCAACACAGCCGCCCCAGUGUACGUACAUUUCUCUCUAGGUUUCAGUUCGUUUCAGUCUCAAAAAAUGUUUCUUUAUGGAUCGGCCGCCCUCUUCAAAUCUAGCAGCAAACACCGGCCCAACCAAGCACAGAGCGCCACUUGUCGCCGACCGAAAUUAGUUUUUUUUCGAGAUAAAUUCAUAUUUCUGAUUUCUGUCAGAUUUUUCUUUUAGCUUAUCUUUUAAUCUAUAGAUCCAAAUUAGGUGAUUCUUUUUCCUACUAGUUCAAAAAAUCCCCUCUAUCCAGAGAACCAAACAAAAAAUAUUUUUGAAAAUUUUAAAUUUUGAAUUCAAACAGAUCUGAAUUUAAACUUCGUUAGGCCGUAACUCGAGUUUCGUAACUCCGUUUUAGGUGAUUCUUUUUGCAUAUCGAAGUUCGUGACGUGUAUUUUCUGUUAAACCCAAACACACAUAUUUUUUCUACUAUAAAAAUUACGUUAUAUACAUAAAUUUUAUUUGGAUGUUUUGGAGUUUUUCGAAGUCUUUCAUUUGUUUUCUUUUCGGAUCUUUGCUUGUAUGCUUAUGUAUGUUAUUGCUUGCUUACGCUAGAUCAUCCGGAGUGCGAAGCUUGCUGCUACGAAUCUUUACAGUUCAACGAACGUCAGCAAGGCAAGUUCACACUUUGAUCAUAAUUUUUUUAAUACCCAGUUUUUACUAUGCAUUAGUUUAACCCUCAAAGAUUGCACGGAUAGGAUUGGGAACAUGUGGAUAUGCUAUGUAGUUCAUGUGGUAGGAACCUAUGACCUUUGAUCACCUCGGAAAUUUUCGUUAUGUCAUAUAUUGCUUAGCCAUGCUCGUAGACGGGGAUUGGUAUGAGUGAUCCAUGCAAGUUGCGAGAGAUAAUAAUUUUUGGGACAACAUAAGGUGGCAACUUUAAUACACAUCUGGGUGGAUUGUUUGGGGCACCUGAAGUAACCAGUGCUUGUCCAAGGGGAAUCCUGGAGUACCCGUGUGAUUACCCUAGGUCCGCCACCCAGGCUCAAAGGGAUCAUAAGAUAUUUUAUGCCUAGAAACUUCCGUGUGCAGCCACAAGCCAUUAUGGCCUCUGGCAUAGUUGAAUAAGUUGUGUGACCUCUUUCCAUGGUAGAUUAGCUGAUGUAGGGGAAAGUAGGUGUACCGGUCUAUCCAGGGUUAAGGGCAAACGCUUCUGAAAGGCUAUGUCUCGAUCUUCCAAUCAUGGAGGUGGUCGAGUCUUGUGAGGAAAAGUGCGCAAACCUCUGCAGAGUGUACAAACUAAUCAUGAUUAGCCGUGUCCCCGGUUAUGGACAACUUGAGUAUCUAGAAGUGAAUUAUUGGCUGAUCUCAUCACUCUUUUUAAUGAAAUUAUUGGGAUACUAAUAACUUGGGAAUUUUGGGGAUUGAGUUGGAGGAACCUUCUCAACAAUGACAUUUUAAUUUAGUAGUAAAUAAAAUUUUAUUCCUUUGUUGUAGGGUAAAAUUGGCUUUAUGCAAAAUAUAAACUUAGAGCCUCCACCAGCUAAAUUUGCAUAUAGAGAUAGUUUUUUAUUAUUAUUCUAAGGUGUGAAAUCACCAGCAUAUUCCAUGUGCUGACCUACAUGGCUGCAACGUCUCAUGUUGCAGACUUUUCCGGCGAGGAUUAAAGGUGCGAUAGGUCGUUGUUCUGCACUCAGUUUGCCGUGGAGUUGGAUGGACUCAUUUACCUUUGAUGCUUCCGCAGUUAUUUUUUUUAGAUGGCCUUUGGCCAUAUUAUUGUAAUAAAUACUCUUUUGAGGAUCUCGAUGUAAUAAAGUGUGUGAUUGAACACUGUUAUAAUUCCUCGAGUA